AGGGAGGGAAGGGUGAAACCAGAGAGAAACGCUGGGGUGCUCACACAGAAGCCCGGAUAAUGAUGGUUUAGAUGGAGGUGGUGGUGGUGGUGAUGACGGUGAGACCAGGAAGCGAAGGGAGUCAAAGCUGAAAGAGAAAACGAAGUUUAGUCCCAGCCCUGGGUCACUUGUGGCAGCGUAUGGGGAAGAAUAAGCUAUCAGAGAGACGAAGAAGAACUCCUAAGAUUGGGGAAGCCACCAGCUGGGCUGCCACUCAGAGUCAGGAAGUACUGGUGCAUACUCGAAUCCAAGAGGUAGGUUGCUCCUGACUGUAAGUGCCAGCUAAAUGACUCUCCAAAUGAUGGGGAGUCAUCAAAGAUGUUUUUCCAGCAGGAAAAUGACGUGUUCGAAACAGUGUUCCUGGCAGAUGAAUCUGGUGCCCAUGCUUGCUUUGAGGUGGGAAGAGACCCAAUCCUGGGAGCAUUAUGUGAGAGAAGGGCCCAGCUCUGGAGAAUGGCGAUAAAGAAAAAAGGGAGGGGGGGCAAAAUCCAAUGACAGGUUUUCGUUUUGAGUUUUUCUGGGUGGUGUUGCUGCUGCUGCUGUUAUUGCUGCUGUUGUUGAACAGCCCAGGACUGGGAUUUGAGCUUGGAAACAUCAAGAGUCCUGAGAUAUCUGUGGGAGCCUUUACCAUCCCCGGGGGUGGGGGUGGGGGGUCACACUGGUCACCUCUGCAGAUGGGGCUGGAGGAGCAGGCAGGACGUCCCUCACAUCUUCCUAUAGGUAAUCUCCUUUAAUGGAGGGAUUUUGUGUAAUUUUUACUUCCUCUGUGUGUGUGUGUGUGUGUGUGUGUGUGUGUGUGUGUGUGUGUGUGUGCUUUUUCUGAAUUUUUCAAAUAAUUAUUUUAAUUCCACACAGACUCCCAGAGCCAAGUUAACCCUUUGUCGACUAUCCUUUCUGAUCAGUUCGUUCCCCCUCAUCCUCAGAAAAGGGGAGGGAGGAAAGACUACAGAACCCUCUGGGGUUUCUGAAGGACUCAACAUACAAGUUCAGUCAGCCUGGUUCUCAAUUGCAGAACCUCCUCAAGGCACCCCUGUCCCCUUCAUUUUGUCCCCAUAGCUACUCACUCCAGAAGGACUCCACUCACCUCUCUCCUCUAAAUGCUGCCACAGCACCACAGAGCACCACACACUUACCUUCUAACCAAGAUGGCAGCUCCGGGCUUGGACAGGCUGUCCCUGGGAUUUCUGUUGCGGAAAUCAGCUCAGCCCAGGCAGGUGGUGAGCUACAACACAGGCCCCAAGAGGGAAUCCGCAGCAGACCCUCCAUAGUCAGAGGCCUCCACACCCAAGCUCGGGCUCUGACUCCUGACUGCUGUCUCAGGCACCUCACCUCGCCUUCUCACCUCAAUUCUCUCGUCAGGAAAAUUGGAGAUAAUGAUAGCGUUUAUCUCCUACAGUUGUUAAGCAGAUUAUAUGAUAAUGGAACGCAUUUAAUAAGUGUGCUCUAUCAUUAGUAUUAAUAAGAACAAUAAAAUAAUAAAUCUUUAUGGCCAAACCUUGUUACCUGGAGGCAAAAGUGACUUUAAUGAACUUCUGCCUAGGCUUCCAUGGAUGCCUUCCUCUCUGCCUCUCCCUUUGACUAGAUUUUUUUUUCCCCCUAAAAACAAAUGAAAAGUUGAGGAAAGUCUCAGAAUCUGGGUCAGGGUCCACUGCUGCUUACAAAGGCUGGAUAGUUUGACAGAUCCCCCAAACCCUCAAGCCUUGUCAUCUACAAAAUGAACACCCAUUCUGACCUCAUGGUAUGUGUCAGGGAGACGGGGCCUUUCCUGGUUCAGAGCAGGCCCUCCCGACAUGCCAGCUCUCCAUCAGGAUCAGGCAGCAUAGCUCUUGCCCAUCCUUCUGUCCUUUGCCCUCGACUUCCCACAUUCUUCUUUACUCAGGCCCUAAUGGUUUGGGAUGAAUCUUCCCAAGUCCACUGUAAACUCCUGAGAGGAGCCACAGAGCCAAGACUCUCUUGACUAGGAGUAGCGCCUUCCUCCUGUGUGCCCCCAGGACAAAGAAGGGAUCAGGUAACGUGUACCAGAGAGAGUCCGGUCACAGCGGGCACAGUCUUGGAAAGCCAGAAGGUGGAGGGAAGGAGAGAUCACCACAAGGCAUCCUGAGCAGUGGGUGCAGCUGAGUAGGAAGCAGGCAGCUGCCAAGAACUGGGCCUAGACAAGAACUGCAGGGGAAGCCACCGGCUCGGGCCCUGGUGCUGAGGAGACAAAUGUUAAGCCCGCCAAGCUGUGGGAGCACCAGGAGCCCUCAGCACAUUUUCGGUUCCUGGGUUGAGAGAGGGCCUUGCCCGCUGCCACAGCUAUAGGGCUGAAGGGACUCAAGUUUCCAGGCAGAGCCCCAGCCAAGGGAGCUAAGCUUUUCUCCAGAAAGCUGCUGUCUCUCCCGAGCACAGCUUUCUCCAUUUUGUCUUGACUACCCCCUCGCGAGAUUCCCUUCCCAGCUUUUAUCGGCCUGUGUUUCUGCAUCUUUCCCUAUCUCCGUUCAGUCUCUCUCAUUUCUCCCACCCCUAGCUCCCAUAACUUCUGGGGGAGUCUGUCUUGGGCUUCCCUUAUGUCCUGUACAUCAGAAACCCGACCUCCAUCAUCUGUUUCUGUUCUUGUUUCGUUUUGUUUUUUGAAAGGUCAGUUUCACUUCCUACCUGAGGGAGGUGGAGGAAUGGGCUGCCUAGCUGUGCCCACCCCCAC